UACGAAGGGGGCUAGCGUUGCUCGAAAUCACUGGGCGUAAAGGGUGCGUAGGCGGGUCUUUAAGUCAGGGGUGAAAUCCUGGAGCUCAACUCCAGAACUGCCUUUGAUACUGAAGAUCUUGAGUUCGGGAGAGGUGAGUGGAACUGCGAGUGUAGAGGUGAAAUUCGUAGAUAUUCGCAAGAACACCAGUGGCGAAGGCGGCUCACUGGCCCGAUACUGACGCUGAGGCACGAAAGCGUGGGAGCAAACAGG
rnacentral:rRNA from 1 species